UAAGUAGGACAAAUGAUCGCGGCCCGGCUUUACAGCCGGGGUGAGGAAAGUCCGGGCUUCACAGGGCAGGAUGCCGGAUAACGUCCGGUGGAGGCGACUCCAAGGAUAGUGCAACAGAAAUAUACCGCCGCAUGGCACACGACACAUAGCUGUCGUGGCGUGCGGUAAGGUUGGAAGGGCAGUGUAAGAGACUACCGCCUCACUGGUAACAGGGAGGGCAUAUGUAAACCCCAUCCGAAGCAAGACCGAACAAAAGCGCUUACGUGGCCCGCCAGCUUUAGGUAGGUCGCUUGAGGUGGCUGGCAACAGUCAUCCUAGAUAGAUGAUCAUUCCGCUUAUUUGCAGUAUGAUGCAAAUAAGCGUGACAUAACCCGGCUUAUCGUCCUGCUUAUUUU
rnacentral:RNase_P_RNA from 1 species